rnacentral:tRNA from 1 species
CAGGGAGACAAAACUGAUUAUGAUGUCUGAUUAAAAUAUUAGGCCUUAAUCCUGUCACCUUAGGUCGAUCGGUACCUCAGAUUGAGAACUAUAAAGAGUAGGAAUUAAUUCUCACUAUAGGUUCUCAGUUUCAGUUCCUAAACUUGUCUAGGUCACACCCAACAAACUUUCUCCUGGGCUAUUAGCUCAGGCGGUUAGAGCGCACCCCUGAUAAGGGUGAGGUCCCUGGUUCAAGUCCAGGAUGGCCCAUUCGUUGUUGGGGGUAUAGCUCAGUUGGUAGAGCGCCUGCUUUGCAAGCAGGAUGUCAGCGGUUCGAGUCCGCUUACCUCCACUGAUCAACUACCUGAUAGCUCAGUUUGGAGAUUUUUGUUUGGUUAAUGUGAUUUAGAAUUGUUCAUCUGAAUGAACCUAGCUUCCUAUCAAGCAAUCAUUAAUUGAUUUUUGGCUGAUAAGACGCUGGGCUCACUGAUAUUUAAAAGAGUAUCAGCUUGAUUCAGCAGAACCUUGACAACUGCAUAGGAAAAUCUAGAAAAAUAAAGCAUCUCAUAGAUGCAUAAGGGGUUUCUAUAUAAAUCUCUUAUGUCCAAUUCUUGAGUUAGAGCAUAAUUCUUUUUAAUUUUAAUUUAGAAAGAAUUUAAAU